AUGUCAGAUUUCAUUGCUUGGAGUUAUACAAAAAAUGGCGUUUUCACUGUUCGGUCAGCUUAUUUGGAGGAAUGGAACAAGGAACAUGGAACAAAAUUGCAACAUGCUGAUGGUAGGGGAAGAAUCAAGGCUAAUCCUAUUUGGGGUAAGGUUUGGAAAUUAUCUUGUCCGGCAAAGGUUAAAGGUUUCAUCUGGCGUACCUUGCAUGGAACCCUCCCAUGCCGUGUUACGCUUGCGAAUAGGCACAUGAAAGUAUCGCCCAAUUUCCCAUCAUGCUCGAAGGGGGAAGAAGAUAUAAAAAACAUUUUAUUCAUGUGUCAAAAGGCAAAAGAGAUAUGGGGCAAGUUAGGAUUACAUGAGGUGAUCAAUAAAGCUUGUGCUACUGAUCAUGCGGGAGAGGCGGUGUUGGAAUUCUUACUACUUAUGCCAGAACAAGAAUUAGCGAUAAUGGGUUCUCCAAAAGCACGUGAACUGAUCGCUGUUACAGCGUGGUACUUAUGGUGGGAUAGACGCAAACUAGUUCACUAA
rnacentral:rRNA from 1 species